GUGUUCGCUUUGGCAGUACAUAUAAUAAAAUUGGAACAAUACAGAGAAUAUUAGCAUGGCCCAUGCAAAAGGAAGACACGCAAAUUCAUGAAGCACUCCAUAUUUUU